CGCAUCAGUUGCUUCGAAUGCGGCAGUCUGCCUUUGUUGUCACAUGACAUUUAACGGAAGAAGCAAGAGCAACGUACAAAAUCCUUUCUGCUCUCCGAGAACCCUUGUUUAAUGCCCGAUUCGCACUACAUUUGUUUGGUUAAUGAGAAAUGAAAUUGUAAUGAAUUACUAUAUUCUCUGACCCGAGAAGAGGAACAGGCUCACGUUCAUGUUUAGACGUGUUCAAGGUUUCAAACCGAAUUAUAUAUGUGCAGCACUUGGCGCGGAUCAUGCUUUGGCGAGUAGGUAGGUAAACAACCUCUGCUAUAAGGAACGAUCACAUAUGCCCAAGAACGUGAUGUAUAUAGUCGCUUCUCACUUGUGCGACGAUGCAUGCUAAAUGCCACGAAAAUGAGUGUUUGAUGAACGUGCAAAUAUUUACCAUGCCCGUCUAAACGCAUAACUGCGUGAAAGCGGCCACAAUUGAGUUAUCAAUCAAAAGAAGGAUGCGAGUUGAGCGGUGGGAGCAAUCCGAGGGAGUUAAGGGAAAGCGAGAGGUGGGAGGGGGGUGGGGGGGGGGGUGAGUGAGGAAAGCUGUUGUGAGUGGGUGGCGACAAAUUCUAAUUUCCUUGACGCAUUAGUUGAGCGUCACCUGCGUGUAGCACAGGCUCUUGAUAUGUGCUUCCCCCUGCCGGCUUUGGCGCGCCCCGAGCUACGAGAUCACGUUCUCGUACAGCUGGGCGAAUCUAAAUAAGGCAAGUGUUUCGUCGGAUCUAUCGCCUUGCGAAUGUUUUGCCGCGAAAACGUUGCCUGCGUGGGGCUGUUUAAUAUACAGCGCCGUGCCAAAGUGUACGCAGGCUAUAGCGACCAUGCUUGACGUUCGCGAACUUCUUAUAGACGACGCAGUCGCACGCUGGGUAUUAUUUCCACACGCGAUAUAACCCAGUCUCGAAUAAGACAUCUGCGAUGUUUAUGGGUGAGCAUUAUCUUGUCAAGCCCGCAUCGCCCUAUUCGAAAGAGGGAGAGAGAGAGAGCGAGAGAGAGAGAAGCAAGGUAUGAGAAAUGAGAAGCUGGGUGCCAUCUGUUCUACCCGGUGCUCUCAUCAGUCUCAGCCGCGUUUUGCCUCUCAACCGCCUUGAAAAGAAGACUGUCUGUGCGAGCCAAUCACAAACCGGCGUACAGGUUACGUAGAGUGGUGAAGCAGCCACUCGCCGGGCGCCAACAAUGUUGCGCCCAACGUGGGACGGUGCUGGCAGAGUAAGAAAAAAAAAAAAAAUCAAGUUCGCUUCUUUUGAAUUUCGAACGGCGCAGUCUCCGAGGGCUGCUUGCUCAAGAGCGCGGGGCCGGCUGUCUCGGGGGUGUAACUCCGCUGCGCAACGAAAAGGAGGGAGGGAGAGAUGAAACGGCAGCCUCCACCCCUGCUGUUCGAGACUGGGCUUCGAGGACACUCCUACUUCCCUGAGAGUGGCCCUUCCCGGGCGCACGGGCCCGGGACCUCCUGCCUUCCCGGUGGCCGCUGUGGAUGCGUUUUGCAAACCGCCGACGACAAUGAAGCGGUACGCUACCCGCAGAAUUACAUUCUUCCUCAGGAUUGUGUCUGUCACUAACAGAUGCUUCUUACAAUUAUGCCGCUGGCCUGGAACGUCGGCAAAGUCAUCCUGGUUCUUAAGAAGGGUUCUACAUCAUCGAGUCCCUACUACUGGCCCAUUUUAUAAACUAGCAUUUCAUUGGCAUCGCAUUUUUUUCUAAUACUAUAUAAAAUCCUCAACCGUCGUGAGAUUUUUACAUUCGUAACCAGCACCAAUUUCUCUUUUGUUACACACAUCUAACACCCUUCUUAAGACAAAUGCUCUAUUUAAGAUACUAACACUUCAGUAGGUGUCUAAGGAACAAUAAGAAAGCUUUUCCUAAAACUAAAAGCCAAAAGUCUUUUAUCAAGUCUUUCCUGAAUUAAAUUGAAUACACUUGUCGUUGAAAGUAUUCACGCUGUCGUAACUAUUUAUGGAGGGUUUCUCUAUGCUAAUGACUCAAAAUAUGCUCGUUACCAACUCCCACUCUCCCUCCAGGCGUGCUGCUGUGUACUAUUCUUAGCACUCUAAUGUUCUUUAUCAGUGUGGGUAGCCUGGCUGCCCCAUUCUCUUCCUACCAAUCAUUAGGAGGCACUCCUAUCAACCUGACACAUAGGUACACCCGUGAGCAAAGGUAUACGGACCAGGGGUUGUGCGAAAAAGCCGAUUUUUUCCUCUGCCUAUGAACGCAACUUGAAAUUGAGGACUGCAGUCCAAACUUGGCAUCGCGAACUUUUCAGUGUAUUCAUCAAGUCCAGUUUAUGCUUGCUAAUUACGAAGAAUUUCACUUUUUUCGGCGACCCUGUGGUCCGUAUACUUUUGCUCACGGGUGUACAUCAAUGGCAAUCUAUGUUACCACCUUGUAGCAAUUUACACAUAACUAGACAUUAACCAAGUUAAUGGCUUACAUAUUUUGUUUCACGUGUCUUGGUAAUACAAAAGGUCUCUUUAAUAGUUAGGCGAAUGGUAUAUUUGGCUGCUUAUGUUUAACGUAAACCUAUUUAAAUCCUAUUCGCCUAAACGUAUACAGAACACCUGCGUAAUUUGGAAUUCUCACCAACUUAACCCUAUAUGAAUGUUGCUGAAUUAGCUUGAUCAGUGAAAUAAGAUAGCGUUUAUUUUGACCAUUCAUAUCAUUCUAUCAAUAGUACGUGAGCCUGAAUACAUCGGCGUCACGAUGCAAAACACUCAGGCUCUACCUUAUCGCAAUUUUUAGCAUGCACCGCACAUUACCUUCGUAACUAUUCCCGCUUUUGACGAUUCACCAGCCGUCAUAAAACAUAAGGGUAGUUUGUUGGUUGUGUCGGUACAUGGUUCUGAGCGAGGGGGUUGCCCGAGAACAGAAUGGGAAAACAGGAAAGGAAAUCGAGAGGAAGGCAAUGACUAAGCUGAAGGUACAGGGCGCUGGUUAAGCUUAGUCCUCCUCUCUGUUUUCUAUCCUGCUUUCACAUUCUGUUCUCUGGCAGUCUCGUGCUCAAACCAAUCAUAGAACAGCCUACCAGCAACAUCCCCCCGGUGCACUCAUUUUUCAUUUCAAGUUGUGAGGAGCUGGAAUGACCAUCCCGCGACCAUGUGCGAGUUACGACCUCAUCAAGUUCAAGAAAAUAAUGGCACAGCUAUUGGCGGCAAGCUCUCGCGGAAUAAAUAAAUAAACGGUGCCUUGAAGGCUGCCACUUAUCUUCAAUCACGGUUUUAGGUCAGUCGUUAUAGGUUAACCUUGUGGCAAAAAAAAGUUAGGCACGCAUUUUCAUAAGGAAGCCCCUUUUAUCCCUAGAAACUUUAAACCCCUCUUCAUUUAGGGAUGUCAUGCGUAAGCAACACAUAUGCAGAAGCUUCGAGGGUGCCACGUACAAACGGUUGCCCCGCAACCUCAUCGUUUAGAUUGUAUGCUCGCAAACUCGCGCCCACAUUCUCCCUUCGCUUCUUCCCCUCCCCUUCUUUACUUCCACACAGCCACAGCCAGCACCCGUCUAGGGCAGGCGACGUGCCAGGUAUGCUCUUUCGGGACGUCUACACCAUCGGCGCACAGCUCACGGGCGCGCCGUGACUGCGCGCUACCUCCACAAAUCCUCGGAUGCGAAACAAGGCACUUCGGCUGAUGGUUCCACUGACCUCCAGUGUUCGUCCGGUGCUGUGGUUGUCCCAGCAAGAGCUAUUACCAUCAGCUUCAGGACUGACCACCCAACGACUUCGACAUCUGCGGAACUAGCUGCUCUUCGCGCUGCACUUUGUUUCGUCAAUCGGGAACCACCUCGACAAUGGUCAAUCUUCAGUGACUCAGAGGCAGCCCUACAACCUGUGCUAUCAUCUCUGCGUCGCGGGCCAUACGAACAGCUCGUAUUAGAUAUUAGAUACCUACUCCAUACAUCACAUGAGAAAGGACACCACGUGACAUUUCAAUGGCUUCCAAGUCACUGCGGCGUCAUAGGGAACGAAGACGCCGAUAAUGCCGCUCGGGCAGCUUUUGACGACACACAGGAAGAGGCCAUACCACUCUCACGGUCCGACGCAGCCAGCAGACUUCGAGUGCUUGCACAGGAGAUCACGCUCUCUCUAUGGUGCACACCAAGCAGCCAGACCAACCGGAGCAAUCGUCAAUACCACCUGCCCUCUUUGAUGCAUCUCUGUAUGCCAACUGGACUCCGCCGAAGAGAGGCCACUAUGCUUUAUCGCUUAUGGCUAGGGGUGGCAUUCACGAAAUUUUAUUCCUUUCUCAUUGGAAUGGCCGACAACGCUUUUUGCAAUGCCUGUCUUUGCGAGAAGACGCUAGAACACAUUCUAUGCAACUGUCCUGAAUAUAAUGUUCCGAGACAGUCCCUGGCGUCUGCUCUAGCGCACCUUGACAAUAGACCAAUGUCAAUUGAAACGAUUCUCACAUGUCGACAGAAGACAUCGCAGCUGAAGGCGACGAAGGGACUACUUUGGUUUUUAAAAGAAACGGGCUUGGACAAGCGGCUGUGACAGGGAUGUCACGUGCCACGCAAGAGUGACGGACUGUGACUGACGAUGUGUGUGCUGUGUUAUGUGCUCUCUCUCUCUCUCCUCCCCAUCUUUAAUUCCCCCUCAUCCCGCUCCCAUGUGUAGGGUAGCAAACCGGUUGUGCUGAACUGGUUAACCUCCCUGCCUUUCCUUCUCCACUCUUUCCUUCCUUUGGCGUUGUACGUCACCGUAAGACUCAUUUAGGCUGCUUUCCUAUGAUUUCCGGUUGGCCUGCCGCCGCCUGAGUUGAGACUCCUGAAGGGCUUUUUGUUCUGUUAAUCCCGUAGUCCAUUGAAAGAAAGGAGACGAACAGCACGCGGGAGUUAGCGUCGUCAGAAAAGUCUCAAAAAAGCGCGCGUUGCGUGGCGGUAAAGGCAGAACGAAUGAAAAAGAACGAUUUCAAAAAUGAGGAACAGGCGCGGCAGUGAUGGACUGGGGAGAGUAAGCUCCUCCGCCCCUUCCCGCUCCAUCAACCGUUUCCCCCUUUUCACUCUGUGAGCCAAAUCGGGAACUGGGUGACGUCGCGAUUCGUCGCCGUCGCUAGGGAGACGCGUCACGGGCUGUGACGUCACUACGGUGCGCUGGCGUGCCCGCUCGUCCGUGGCGCGACGCCCAAUCGAUGGCAGCGCGCUGUGAGCGACAAGAACAAGACGUGUUUCGCAGGCGCGCUACCGCAUGUAAUUGUAGUAGCGCAUUUUCCAGCCGACUGCACCGGGAUGAAUUGAAAAAUGAAGCCGCUUUAGUGGGCGCGCGCACCACCGCCUCCUCAGCUUCUUCGGGCUCCUUUCCCGGUUUGCACCCGCGUGCUUCGCCCGCGUGCGUCUCGAACACGAGCCAUCGGCGCUUCGCCUCACUAGCAACCUGUUAAUCAGCGAUGACGUUGGCUGCUGCCUCGUCGUUUCGACGAGUGCGCGCGGCAACUGCAUUGGCAAGUGCGUGUGGGCAGCGGUGAGUUCGGAGCGCGCUGGGCAGGCUAUCAGCAGCUCUAGGCUUUUACGAAUGCCGCGCCUCAUUUUCAGAACACGAGGCAUGCAUAAGCUCACAAACUAGAUGUACUACUCUAUCGGCGUCAAAUGAAAAGCCAACAGCGGAGCGCGUGGCCGAAGCAUAACUGUAUAUAGUGCGCGCCGUCCACGUAUUCACCAUUAAACGGCGCGCACAUCCGGUUUGACCUUACUGCGUGAUGAUGCUCCCCCUAUACUGCGAUAUUUUCGUUUCUGUUCUGGUUCUCUUUUAUUUCAAAUCGAGGGAAGAUGACGGCGCAGUAAUGAUGAUGGCGCAAACUGUAGCUUGCGCACCGCUGUUCGCGUUUCAUUUGACGCCUAUAGCACACACUGUUUCGCCGCACUGUGGGAGAAUACUCGCCCUAUACUGCGAUAUUUGAGCUCCUGGUUUCUUUGAUUUGUCUUUGAUUUUUCGCUUUCAAAGCCUCUUCUCAAAUGGGUUCACGUCGCAGUAUUUGCGCGAGUAAUUUCUCAUGUGCAGGCCAUGUCGUCGUCGUCGUCGUUGUCGGGUUCAUGAUCAUCAUCACCAUCAUGAUCAUCAUCGUUAUCAUCCUAUUUUACGUUCACUGCAGGACAAAAACCGUUUCCUGGUGAUAUCCCCUUAUUCCUGCCUUGAUCAAUCGAUUCCAUCCUACGCCUGCGAAUUUCGUAACCUUUUCACGCUACCUUAUCAUAAGGCUUACUCCAUUGCGGUUUUCUUGGCAGUGUGGCACCUAUGUUGUUAGCCUAAUAGAUCACUGGUUAUCUGCUGUACGCUUUAAAUGACCUCCACAACUUAAUUUUCCCUCUUAAUUUGAACUAGAAUACCAUAUAAUACCAGCUAGACCUGUUUGCUUUCUAUAAAAUGUAUACUGUAGUCUUCCUGUUUAAUAACGUUUCACCCAUC